AAGACAUUUCGAGAACAUUCUCUUAAUUGGGAAUUCCUCCAAAAAUCAUAUAAAUAUAAGGAUUGCUUUCAGAAAGCUCAGUUGCUUUAAGUUAAAUUCUUCGACAACAACACAUUAUAAAAACUACAACAUGGGUUACGAUCCUUAUAAAAAAGAGGUCCCGGCUAACUCGGGAUGUUUUCCGGGAGAUGUCCAAGUUGAAACGAAACUUGACGGAAAGAAAUGUAUACGUAAUUUACAAGUCGGAGAGGAGGUUAAGGUUAUGUUCGAGGAUGGGAAUAUCGGAUUUUCUGAAGUAUGGACAAUGGCCCAUAAAGACACAGAGUCCACGGCCUGUUAUCUACAUAUUCAAACCGAAACAAAGAAACUGACCAUUAGCCAUCUUCAUUUCAUACCUGUUACAGAUCAAAAUAAUUCCACGGUUGUUUAUAAAAUGGCUAAAGACGUAGAGGUAGGAGACCACCUUAUUACGGUUAAUAAAGAAAGUAGAACGACCGAAACCGUAAUGAAGAUCGAAGAGGUGGAGUCAACGGGAAUAUUCGCCCCGUUCACUAUUAAUGGGUUUAUACUCGUUAACGGUGUUCACACAUCAGUGUAUGCGGAAGUGGAUCCAGAUUUAGCGCAUUCUGCCCUGGCACCUUUCCGAGAAAAAUACUACAUCACACCAAAUGAUGAAAUGGAAGACUUCCUCAAACCAAACGAAAAUGGCGUACCAGCGAUCUUUGCAGAGGCUUUUAUAAUGUUGAAGCAGUUAGUACCCUCGUAUUAAAAAUUUUUCAUUCUGCCAAUAAAAUAUAUUUUUUUUAAAAUCAAAA